ensembl:lncRNA
AAAAUAGAUUUAGUAAAUGGCUGGGUAACAUGUAUAAAGGGGGAGCAGCUUGUCGCUGACUGCAAGCACUGUGGGUGAAUUCCUUUCCAUUGUAAUUUCCCUAAGUGCUGUCCAGAUCCUCAAAAUCAGACACACACUUCAUUACACUGCUGGGCAAAGGCAAAAGGAGCACCCUCCCCCCCAGUAUCCUAAAGGUUAAGGAUCUACAAUGUAUUUAGCCCAGUGGUGACAGCGCCGUAACAACCAAGGGAAGAAAACAAACGGCCUUGGUCCAUCCCUCAGGGCUUCAGCACUCAAGAAUGCACUUGCGACUGGUCUGGCCGCUCCUGACCCAUUACUUGGUUUGCGGGGCCCUGGAGUUAGGAGGGCUCAGCAUCCAUCCGGGGCCCGACCCCGCCUCACCUAGGGGCCUGCUUCUGUGGCUCCAUCCUCUGCUGCCCCCCGCCGGGCAUUGCCCGGCUCUGCAGCCAAACCCGGGUGCGGCCAGGUUCGGCUUCCUGCAAGCCUUCGCGCGCCCCCGGCUGGGCCCAGACCCCGAGACGGCAGCAGGGCCGUGGAGCUCGGCCCGUCUCGCCCCAGCUCCAACCCAUCGGGGAGAACCAUCCUCGGGCUUCCCUCGGGUCACCUAUCUUCAAACACCUAGGCCCCGGGGGGCAGGAUGUCGCCCCCUGCGUGUACCCGGGGCCUGUUAUGCGCCGGCACCACAGGCGCGCGUCGACACCGGCGACUCCUCAUGGGUGAGCCGCACGAGCCCGCGCGCCGGUCAGCCUUGUCUCCGGGGGCGCUGCCCCUGGAGGUCAAGGGGAACCCGACAACCUGGGAUCGGCGACGGGGCCAGGCCAGGCCAGACCACCCCGGAUGUGAGCAAGGGCGGAGACGGGGCCGCCUUCCAAUCGGGGGCAGCAGCGAGAGCCAAUCACAGCCAGCCUGCCCCGCUCGUCCAAUGGUCGGCCUGUCGCUAGGGCUCUGCUCCGGAAUCAGCCUGGCGGUUGCCCGAGCCCAACCGCUGCGCUCCGCCCGGGCUCUCCUCCCACCGCCGGGCCGUCCUAAGCCACACCCACCCCGCCUCCGUUCACUCUCCCCUCUCUCCUCCCCGGGUCUCCGCCCUCCUCGCGGGCCUUUGUCACCCGGAGUAACCUGGCCAGGCCUCUGUAGGGCAUUACAACGCCUUAUAGGGAGUUAGCGACCUCUGCGGGCCUUGUCCGUUGCC